AGAGUUUGAUCCUGGCUUAGGACGAACGCUGGCGGCGUGCCUAACACAUGCAAGUCGAGCGGAGUCAGUAAGAGGAAGUUUCGGAUGGAAUCUGUUGAUUAGCGGCGGACGGGUGAGUAACGCGUGAGCGACCAACCUUGCACAGGGGGAUAACGGACCGAAAGGUUCACUAAUACCGCAUGAGACCACGGUGUUGCAUGACACAGGGGUCAAAGGAGCAAUCCGGUGCAAGACGGGCUCGCGUCCGAUUAGGUAGUUGGAGGGUAACGGCCCACCAAGCCUAUGAUCGGUAGCCGACCUGAGAGGGUGAUCGGCCACAUUGGAACUGAGAUACGGUCCAAACUCCUACGGGAGGCAGCAGUGGGGAAUAUUGGGCAAUGGGGGGAAAAACCCCUGACCCAGCAACGCCGCGUGAAGGAAGAAGGUUUUCGGAUUGUAAACUUCUGUCCUUGGUGAAGAGAAGAAGACGGUAGCCAAGGAGGAAGCCCCGGCUAACUACGUGCCAGCAGCAGC
rnacentral:rRNA from 1 species